CUCUCGGUAGCCAAGUUGGUCUAAGGCGCAAGACUGUAAUGUAAGGAUUCGUUUCCUGAGAUAUCUUGAGAUCGGGUGUUCGACUCACCCCCGGGAGA